GAUAAACGCUGGCGGCGUGCCUAACACAUGCAAGUCGAACGAUCCCGCAAGGGAGAGUGGCGGAAGGGUGAGUAACACGUGGGAAUCUACCUCCUCGCAGGGGAACAACCUCUCGAAAGAGAGGCUAAUACCCAAAGGGUCAGAAAUGAUCAGAGUCGAAAGGCGUGAGGAGAGGAGCCCGCGGCCCAUCAGCUAGUUGGUGAGGUAAUGGCUUACCAAGGCUACGACGGGUAGGGGAUCUGAGAGGAUGUCCCCCACACUGGAACUGAAACACGGUCCAGACGCCUACGGGUGGCAGCAGUGAGGAAUAUUGGACAAUGGGCGAAAGCCCGAUCCAGCAACGCCGCGUGGAGGAUGAAGGCCUUC
rnacentral:rRNA from 1 species